GAUGAACGCUGGCGGCGUGCCUAAUACAUGCAAGUCGAACGCUUCACUUCGGUGAAGAGUGGCGAACGGGUGAGUAAUACAUAAGUAACCUGGCAUCUACAGGGGGAUAACUGAUGGAAACGUCAGCUAAGACCGCAUAGGUGUAGAGAUCGCAUGAACUCUAUAUGAAAAGUGCUACGGGACUGGUAGGUGAUGGACUUAUGGCGCAUUAGCUUGUUGGUAGGGUAACGGCCUACCAAGGCGACGAUGCGUAGCCGACCUGAGAGGGUGACCGGCCACACUGGGACUGAGACACGGCCCAGACUCCUACGGGAGGCAGCAGUAGGGAAUUUUCGGCAAUGGGGGAAACCCUGACCGAGCAACGCCGCGUGAAGGAAGAAGUAAUUCGUUAUGUAAACUUCUGUCAUAGAGGAAGAACGGUGGAUAUAGGGAAUGAUAUCCAAGUGACGGUACUCUAUAAGAAAGCCACGGCUAACUACGUG
rnacentral:rRNA from 1 species